GAGAACAUCGUGUCUGAAAGCAGGUGUUUUUCUGAAUGUCAAGCUUUAUCUUCUUGAGUUGUAUGUGUGAAAUCUGUAAUUAUCAAAUGUUAAUGAUUAUAGAAUAACCCACGAGGUACGAGUGAUUACGGAAAAUAUGUCACGAGUGAAAUGAAUGUUUUAAGUUCCGAGCUAUAGCUUUGUCGUAAUGAAUGACCCGACUUUACCCAGAUAUGAGACAGUCGAAACCAGGAAUGACAAGAGAACCGGCGUUACAGUUUAAUCCGGAUAACAAGUUUAAUGAACAUCGUGUGUGAUUUGAGACAAGUGUGACUGAUUGCAAUUGGAAACAUGUGCAUGUGGGAUUUUAGGAAAACUUGUCAAACACGCUUGUGGACUGGACACAGUCAGAUGACGGGAGUUUGUUGAUAUUUUGAUGUGAUUCAUAAUGGUCGAAUACCUGUUGAUAGACUAACACGGUAUCUGGAGACUUGGUGACAAGGUGUCCGCAUUCACGGAGUUCAUUUAGUUCAAUAUCGGACACAGGAUCAGCUCGCUGGGUUAUCGAUGUCAUCAUCGUUCACAAAGGCAAACCUGUCUGUACUAAGUCCGGUUUUGGGUUUCGCGGAAUAGCAAGUCCUCUAACACAAACGCAAACCCGGAGUUGGUGGUGUUGAUCUUGGCGCACUAGGAACAGUUUCCGGCAACAUCACAAUCUGAAUCUUGGAACUUCAAUCUGGCCAUAUGCAGUUUUGACAACAAAGACAUUAAAUGUGUUCAGAGGUUGAAUUAUACGAAUAACUUUUCAUGUCAGUCAGAUCUCAGUCCGCUUUAACGAGGUCAUUUACUUUGACAGGUGUCAAAUGUUUGUUUACAAACGCAGACGUAGCUUUGGUUUUUAAUGUAAAACGAAAAUCAUGUGAAAUAAAUGAAAAAUAAAU